AGGCAGCGAAGUCUCCCCAUGUUUUAAACUGCCAGCCAGCCCCAGAUCCAAUUGGCAGUUGUUACCUGAAGAAGUGGCUGCACAGAUUAUACUAAACUAUGAAAGAUAAAUCAGAGCAGGACACCUGCUGUUUGCAAAGAAACUUGGACAAAGGUGAAUGGACUAAUACAUGGUAGAGGAGAACCAGCAGGAAUACGUGAAAAGUAUUGCAUCUGGGCUGAUGGGAACCCAAAAUCUGAAAUUCAAGACAACUCAGUUCUUGCAGAUCUAGAGAAGAAUGCAGCACUAUGUUCACUGUAAAGGUUUAAUAUGUGAGAAAUAUCUGGGGUUAACAUGAAACAUGGGAAUUCUCAUUGCUUUAUCAGGCAAAGGUGGGAAAUGAAAUUGUCUUACGUAUGCUACUUCUAAUAACCAAUAGCAACCAAUCGACAGGUAGCAUUUACUGGGCAACUAUUUGAAAAUAAGCAUCUUGGUUGCUAGGGUUUACUAGACCUGGGCAAACUUAAAACCUUCUAUUACAUUAGUUUCCUCCCAAGCUUGGGGGCCACAAGAGUUGUAGAGCAAAUUAACCUCUACAACUGUGUCCUUGGAAUUCCUUCUAUCUUACACACACUAUUUAUUAAGAAAUGCUACAUAACAGUGUAAUUGACAUUCCAUUGACAAUUGAAUUGUCCUUUACCAUACACAUUUUAUUUUAGAGAGAGAUAUUCAGCUUUAUAAAUGGGGAACAAGAAUGAAAGCUGAAAAAAGUGUAUAGCAUAAUUAAAAGGAUUCUUAUGGUUUACUUUUUAUUUCUAAAUUACACUGUUCACACUGCAAAUAUUUCACUCUACCAUUUAAAAAUGUAUUCUUGAACCAACAAAUGUGUUUUUUAGCUGUAAUAUUGGUGAGGAGGCAGCCAUCUGAGCUUUGAGAAUGAGUGCAAUGCAAACUAAUCCUUCAGCAGAGGUGUCAGGUAGCUGCUAUCUAGUUAGCUGCCCAUUGUUCUGUUGGUAGGCUGCUGAUAGGCUGCUGGGGGAAGAUGGGGGUGAUAUCACUCUAAAAGCCCCCAUUAACGGGCCGAUAAAAGCUACCGACUGACCGAGUCAGCAGCUUAUUGGCCCCUGCGUGGGGCCAUCUGACAGGCAUCCCCGAUCGAAAAUCUGGCAGGGUAAAAAAAUACUGUUGGAUCGCGGAUGCAUCUUUUCUUUGAUGCAGUCCCGCGAUCCGACCGCCUAUAUAAUCUGCAUUAUGAUCCAA